GUAAUUUCUACAGCAAAAUUUUACAGUUACUUCUUGUUCUGUCAUUUUACAAAGUUUAGCUGUACAUUGCAAUGCAUUGUGGGUCAAAAAACUAUUACAGAAGUUGACAGCUUUUCCCCCAAAAUAAAUUACAGGUAUAUUUGCGCUUGCCUGUAAAUGAUGCAGUAUUACAGUUAUUCACUGUUGAAUGCGUUGCACGAGGCAGCUUGACGCCAUUUUAUGUCGGAUUGCAGAGGAGCAGGGACAUUGCCACGCCACUCAUCCACAAUAUGUGUUGGCAACAGCAACAGACGUUGAAAAAAGACUACAGUUUCCUGACUCUAAUUGUCUUAGGCGAAUCAGCGUUUGGAUGCUGAGCAUCGGGUGGUUGUGCCUCCACAUCCCAACUUCGUGGCUGGAAUGGCAGCUUUGUUUUAAGGCUACCACAACUUCAAUCUUGUGUAACAGGUAACUAUGUGCUUGAAGUACAAUGCAGUUUAUCAUUAUUUUGUAAAGUGUGCUAUUAUGAGUAACAGAGAUUUUAUUUUGCUUUAAGUGUGCUUACAGGAAAUCCCUUUAACAUGAUUUUUUUAGUUGAUAAAUUGGGUUAAGUUAUUUACCCAAAUGCUUUAUAUCAUUGCAGAACGAAUUCAUUGUAACAUUCAAACAUUGACAAUAAAGAUUUAUUUGAUUAUAUAUUUUGAAAAGUAGUUCUGCAUUGGGGUAACUGAGCAUUUAGGUAAAUAAACUGCAAACUUGCUUUGUUUUUUUUUAUGGCAUUCACAAGAAAUCCCAGAUGAACAUUAAUUUUACAGUUAUGCAUAAUUUCAUAUGCCCACCCAGCCCUCACCCUCCCCACUAUGGCAGUGAUGCUCAAGGCAAACACACAAAAAAGGAUCUGUAUGCAUAUACUGUAUACACACACCCACAUAUAUAUACUGAUACAUAAACAUAUCUUACAAAUCUACCUAGAUGUUUUUUAACAAAAAAAAGAGAUUUGCAUGAUCUUUGACAAUCAGUCAUUUAUUCAUGGUUUUAUUGGGGUAUGAAUGAGACUUUGUUAUGAAAACCAUAGGAUUCGGAGUCAUAGGAUUAGUUCUUUUGGAGUUUUUUCACAAGGCUGUAGGCCUACAUGUUAUCAACUGUAGUGAUGUAGUUGCAUGGACAUAGCCCUGUACUAUGAGUCCUUUAAUUGUAGAUCUUUGGAUGGACCAGCCCAACAACAGCAAACUUAGACAACCAAAGAACAUUUUACCAAAGACAUGUCUUGUGUUCCUCAACAGAAUACAUUUAUUUUCCUGCUUUAGGGUGCCCUCUGACCACUCCCUACAUUGGAACAAUUUUGUUCAUUACAGACUGACAGUAUAACUACGUAGUGGAGCCUCGCAUCUACGUAUCUAGAAUGUUUUUCAAGUCUGAAAGCACUAUAAAGUCGC